UAUUCAUCAGGUUCGCUGGCGGGAGGAAGUCACCUGCUCCUGCCUGUGCAAGACAAAGGCGACCGCAGAAGCUCGAGUUCUGGAGGCAUGCAAGAUUUUUGUCGGGAGUUUGCCCACUUAGAGUCCAGCGCUGCAGAGACUCCUACACCUGCUGCCGUCCAGCCUGAACGCGAUAUCGCAAUCAGCCGCAAUGCGACAUUCAGUCCUCGUAUUCAAGAUUCAGCCGCGACCAACCCUGCCUUGUACUCUUGUGGUUACCGGUACAUCAGAAGAGGAAGCGAAUUUACUUGCAAUGAUACC
rnacentral:lncRNA from 1 species